rnacentral:rRNA from 1 species
UGUCGUCAGCUCGUGUCGUGAGAUGUUGGGUUAAGUCCCGCAACGAGCGCAACCCUUGUCGUUAGUUGCUACCAUUAAGUUGAGCACUCUAGCGAGACUGCCGCGGUUAACGCGGAGGAAGGUGGGGAUGACGUCAAAUCAUCAUGCCCCUUAUGUCUAGGGCUACACACGUGCUACAAUGGUCGGUACAAUGAGACGCAAUACCGCGAGGUGGAGCAAAGCUUAUAAAACCGAUCCCAGUUCGGAUUGCAGGCUGCAACUCGCCUGCAUGAAGCCGGAGUUGCUAGUAAUCGCGAAUCAGAAUGUCGCGGUGAAUACGUUCCCGGGA